AUUGAACGCUGGCGGCAGGCCUAACACAUGCAAGUCGAGCGGCUGAAGGGAGCUUGCUCCUUGAUUCAGCGGCGGACGGGUGGGUAAUUCCUAGGAACCUGCCUGGUAGCUGGGGAUAACGUCCGGAAACAGGCGCUAUUACCCCAUACGUCCUGAGGGCCUACGUGGGGGAUCUUCGGACCUCACGCCCUCACAUGAGCCUAUGUCGGAUUAGCUAGUUGGCGGGGUAAAGGCCUACCAAGGCGACGAUCCGUAACUGGUCUGAGAGGAUGAUCAGUCACACUGGAACUGAGACACGGUCCAGACUCCUACGGGAGGCAGCAGUGGGGAAUAUUGGACAAUGGGCGAAAGCCUGAUCCAGCCAUGCCGCGUGUGUGAAGAAGGUCUUCGGAUUGUAAAGCACUUUAAGUUGGGAGGAAGGGCAGUAAGUUAAUACCUUGCUGUUUUGACGGUACCAAAAGAAUAAGCACCGGCUAACUUCGUG
rnacentral:rRNA from 1 species